CCUACGGGAGGCAGCAGUCGAGAAUCAUUCACAAUGGGGGAAACCCUGAUGGUGCGACGCCGCGUGGGGGAAUGAAGGUCUUCGGAUUGUAAACCCCUGUCAUGUGGGAGCAAAUUAAAAAGAUAGUACCACAAGAGGAAGAGACGGCUAACUCUGUGCCAGCAGCCGCGGUAAUACAGAGGUCUCAAGCGUUGUUCGGAAUCACUGGGCGUAAGGCGUGCGUAGGCUGUUUCAUAAGUCGUGUGUGAAAGGCGCGGGCUCAACCCGCGGACGGCACAUGAUACUGCGAGACUAGAGUAAUGGAGGGGGAACCGGAAUUCUCGGUGUAGCAGUGAAAUGCGUAGAUAUCGAGAGGAACACUCGUGGCGAAGGCGGGUUCCUGGACAUUAACUGACGCUGAGGCACGAAGGCCAGGGGAGCGAAAGGGAUUAGAUACCCGGGUAGUC
rnacentral:rRNA from 1 species